UCCGAGUUGACCCCGGCAGUCUCUCACGAGUCCCCACCAUAACGUGCUGGCAACAUGAGACAAGGGUUGCGCUCGUUGCGGGACUUAACCCAACAUCUCACGACACGAGCUGACGACAGCCAUGCACCACCUGCACACAGGCCACAAGGGAAUACCUAUCUCUAGGCACGUCCUGUGCAUGUCAAACCCAGGUAAGGUGGGGAUGACGUGCGAGAGUACGUCC
rnacentral:misc_RNA from 1 species